rnacentral:rRNA from 1 species
GACGUAGGAGGCGAGCGUUUGUCCGGAUUCAUUGGGCGUAAAGAGCGCGCAGGCGGCUUGGUAAGUCGGAUGUGAAAACCCGAGGCUCAACCUCGGGCGUGCAUCCGAUACUGCUCGGCUAGAGGUAGGUAGGGGAGAUCGGAAUUCCUGGUGUAGCGGUGAAAUGCGCAGAGUAUCAGGAGGAACACCGGUGGCGAAGGCGGAUCUCUGGGCCUUACCUGACGCUCAGGCGCGAAAGCUAGGGGAGCGAACUGG